rnacentral:rRNA from 1 species
GCUGUCGUCAGCUCGUGUUGUGAAAUGUUGGGUUAAGUCCCGCAACGAGCGCAACCCUUAUCCUUUGUUGCCAGCGGUCCGGCCGGGAACUCAAAGGAGACUGCCAGUGAUAAACUGGAGGAAGGUGGGGAUGACGUCAAGUCAUCAUGGCCCUUACGACCAGGGCUACACACGUGCUACAAUGGCGCAUACAAAGAGAAGCGACCUCGCGAGAGCAAGCGGACCUCAUAAAGUGCGUCGUAGUCCGGACUGGAGUCUGCAACUCGACUCCAUGAAGUCGGAAUCGCUAGUAAUCGUGGAUCAGAAUGCCACGGUGAAUACGUUCCCGGGCCUUGUACACACCGCCCGUCACACCAUGGGAGUGGGUUGCAAA